rnacentral:rRNA from 1 species
GAUGAACGCUGACAGAAUGCUUAACACAUGCAAGUCUACUUGAACUUCGGUUUGGGUGGCGGACGGGUGAGUAACGCGUAAAGAACUUGCCUCACAGAUAGGGACAACACUUGGAAACGAAUGCUAAUACCUGAUAUUAUGAUUUUAGGGCAUCCUAGAAUUAUGAAAGCUAUAUGCACUGUGAGAGAGCUUUGCGUCCCAUUAGCUAGUUGGAGAGGUAACGGCUCACCAUGGCGAUGAUGGGUAGCCGGCCUGAGAGGGUGAUCGGCCACAAGGGGACUGAGACACGGCCCUUACUCCUACGGGAGGCAGCAGUGGGGAAUAUUGGACAAUGGACCAAGAGUCUGAUCCAGCAAUUCUGUGUGCACGAUGAAGUUUUUCGGAAUGUAAAGUGCUUUCAGUUGGGAAGAAAAAAAUGACGGUACCAACAGAAGAAGUGACGGCUAAAUACGUG